GAUUAAGUUAUUAAGGGCGCACGGUGGAUGCCUUGGCACUAGAAGCCGAUGAAGGACGUUACUAACGACGAUAUGCUUUGGGGAGCUGUAAGUAAGCUUUGAUCCAGAGAUUUCCGAAUGGGGAAACCCAGCAUGAGUUAUGUCAUGUUAUCGAUAUGUGAAUACAUAGCAUAUCAGAAGGCACACCCGGAGAACUGAAACAUCUUAGUACCCGGAGGAAGAGAAAGAAAAUUCGAUUCCCUUAGUAGCGGCGAGCGAAACGGGAAGAGCCCAAACCAACAAGCUUGCUUGUUGGGGUUGUAGGACACUCUAUACGGAGUUACAAAGGACGACAUUAGACGAAUCAUCUGGAAAGAUGAAUCAAAGAAGGUAAUAAUCCUGUAGUCGAAAAUGUUGUCUCUCUUGAGUGGAUCCUGAGUACGACGGAGCACGUGAAAUUCCGUCGGAAUCUGGGAGGACCAUCUCCUAAGGCUAAAUACUCUCUAGUGACCGAUAGUGAACCAGUACCGUGAGGGAAAGGUGAAAAGCACCCCGGAAGGGGAGUGAAAUAGAACCUGAAACCGUGUGCUUACAAGUAGUCAGAGCCCGUUAAUGGGUGAUGGCGUGCCUUUUGUAGAAUGAACCGGCGAGUUACGAUUUGAUGCAAGGUUAAGCAGUAAAUGUGGAGCCGUAGCGAAAGCGAGUCUGAAUAGGGCGUUUAGUAUUUGGUCGUAGACCCGAAACCAGGUGAUCUACCCUUGGUCAGGUUGAAGUUCAGGUAACACUGAAUGGAGGACCGAACCGACUUACGUUGAAAAGUGAGCGGAUGAACUGAGGGUAGCGGAGAAAUUCCAAUCGAACCUGGAGAUAGCUGGUUCUCUCCGAAAUAGCUUUAGGGCUAGCCUCAAGUGAUGAUUAUUGGAGGUAGAGCACUGUUUGGACGAGGGGCCCCUCUCGGGUUACCGAAUUCAGACAAACUCCGAAUGCCAAUUAAUUUAACUUGGGAGUCAGAACAUGGGUGAUAAGGUCCGUGUUCGAAAGGGAAACAGCCCAGACCACCAGCUAAGGUCCCAAAAUAUAUGUUAAGUGGAAAAGGAUGUGGCGUUGCCCAGACAACUAGGAUGUUGGCUUAGAAGCAGCCAUCAUUUAAAGAGUGCGUAAUAGCUCACUAGUCGAGUGACACUGCGCCGAAAAUGUACCGGGGCUAAACAUAUUACCGAAGCUGUGGAUUGUCCUUUGGACAAUGGUAGGAGAGCGUUCUAAGGGCGUUGAAGCAUGAUCGUAAGGACAUGUGGAGCGCUUAGAAGUGAGAAUGCCGGUGUGAGUAGCGAAAGACGGGUGAGAAUCCCGUCCACCGAUUGACUAAGGUUUCCAGAGGAAGGCUCGUCCGCUCUGGGUUAGUCGGGUCCUAAGCUGAGGCCGACAGGCGUAGGCGAUGGAUAACAGGUUGAUAUUCCUGUACCACCUAUAAUCGUUUUAAUCGAUGGGGGGACGCAGUAGGAUAGGCGAAGCGUGCGAUUGGAUUGCACGUCUAAGCAGUAAGGCUGAGUAUUAGGCAAAUCCGGUACUCGUUAAGGCUGAGCUGUGAUGGGGAGAAGACAUUGUGUCUUCGAGUCGUUGAUUUCACACUGCCGAGAAAAGCCUCUAGAUAGAAAAUAGGUGCCCGUACCGCAAACCGACACAGGUAGUCAAGAUGAGAAUUCUAAGGUGAGCGAGCGAACUCUCGUUAAGGAACUCGGCAAAAUGACCCCGUAACUUCGGGAGAAGGGGUGCUCUUUAGGGUUAACGCCCAGAAGAGCCGCAGUGAAUAGGCCCAAGCGACUGUUUAUCAAAAACACAGGUCUCUGCUAAACCGUAAGGUGAUGUAUAGGGGCUGACGCCUGCCCGGUGCUGGAAGGUUAAGAGGAGUGGUUAGCUUCUGCGAAGCUACGAAUCGAAGCCCCAGUAAACGGCGGCCGUAACUAUAACGGUCCUAAGGUAGCGAAAUUCCUUGUCGGGUAAGUUCCGACCCGCACGAAAGGCGUAACGAUUUGGGCACUGUCUCAACGAGAGACUCGGUGAAAUCAUAGUACCUGUGAAGAUGCAGGUUACCCGCGACAGGACGGAAAGACCCCGUGGAGCUUUACUGUAGCCUGAUAUUGAAAUUCGGCACAGCUUGUACAGGAUAGGUAGGAGCCUUUGAAACGUGAGCGCUAGCUUACGUGGAGGCGCUGGUGGGAUACUACCCUAGCUGUGUUGGCUUUCUAACCCGCACCACUUAUCGUGGUGGGAGACAGUGUCAGGCGGGCAGUUUGACUGGGGCGGUCGCCUCCUAAAAGGUAACGGAGGCGCUCAAAGGUUCCCUCAGAAUGGUUGGAAAUCAUUCAUAGAGUGUAAAGGCAUAAGGGAGCUUGACUGCGAGACCUACAAGUCGAGCAGGGUCGAAAGACGGACUUAGUGAUCCGGUGGUUCCGCAUGGAAGGGCCAUCGCUCAACGGAUAAAAGCUACCCCGGGGAUAACAGGCUUAUCUCCCCCAAGAGUUCACAUCGACGGGGAGGUUUGGCACCUCGAUGUCGGCUCAUCGCAUCCUGGGGCUGUAGUCGGUCCCAAGGGUUGGGCUGUUCGCCCAUUAAAGCGGUACGCGAGCUGGGUUCAGAACGUCGUGAGACAGUUCGGUCCCUAUCCGUCGUGGGCGUAGGAAAUUUGAGAGGAGCUGUCCUUAGUACGAGAGGACCGGGAUGGACAUACUCUGGUGUACCAGUUGUCGUGCCAACGGCAUAGCUGGGUAGCUAUGUGUGGACGGGAUAAGCUGAAAGCAUCUAAGCAUGAAGCCCCCUCAAGAUGAGAUUUCCCAACUUCGGUUAUAAGAUC
rnacentral:rRNA from 1 species